CCGAGUUGGUGGAUGACGUAGCUCUCACGUGACCAAGAGCUGACGUGUGCAGAAGUCCUUCUUGUCCUGGUCGUUGUUCCCGUCUGAGUACCAGCUCCCCAUUGCCCUGAGGGCGGGCGGGCCUGCGGCGGAGGGAAAAAGGAAGAGGAGAAGAAAAUUGUCCCGGAUCCCUGCAGUCUUUCUGUAGGUUGCGGCACAACGCCAGGCAAAAGAAGAGGAAGGAAAUUAAUCCUAAUCGGUGAAGGUCGAUUUGAGGGUCUGCUGUAGCAGGUGGCUCCGCUUGAAGCGAGGGAGGAAGUUUCCUCCGAUCAGUAGAGAUUGGAAAGGUUGUUGGGCGUGGCACACCACCAGGAAACAGAAGAAGGGGCGAACUGCUUGUCUUGAGGAGGUCAACCUCCAGAAUCAGCUAUUGUGGCCUUGAAGUGGCUGAAGACGAUCACCCUCCACAGGCUUGAGCCCAGUCCCACAGCCUUCCUCCCCCAGCCUGAGUGACUACUCUAUUCCUUGGUCCCUG
rnacentral:lncRNA from 1 species